GAUGAACGCUGGCGGCGUGCCUAAUACAUGCAAGUCGAACGCAUAGCGAAAGGUGCUUGCACCUUUCAAGUGAGUGGCGAACGGGUGAGUAACACGUGGACAACCUGCCUCAAGGCUGGGGAUAACAUUUGGAAACAGAUGCUAAUACCGAAUAAAACUUAGUGUCGCAUGACACAAAGUUAAAAGGCGCUUCGGCGUCACCUAGAGAUGGAUCCGCGGUGCAUUAGUUAGUUGGUGGGGUAAAGGCCUACCAAGACAAUGAUGCAUAGCCGAGUUGAGAGACUGAUCGGCCACAUUGGGACUGAGACACGGCCCAAACUCCUACGGGAGGCUGCAGUAGGGAAUCUUCCACAAUGGGCGAAAGCCUGAUGGAGCAACGCCGCGUGUGUGAUGAAGGCGUUCGGGUCGUAAAGCACUGUUGUAUGGGAAGAACAGCUAGAAUAGGAAAUGAUUUUAGUUUGACGGUACCAGACCAGAAAGGGACGGCUAAAUACGUG
rnacentral:rRNA from 1 species